rnacentral:lncRNA from 1 species
UUGAUUCCCACGGCUGGCUGCCAACAGGGCCGCCUCAGGGCUGUAGGACUCCACUGGAGUAUUUACCUCUAUCUGGGAGGUGCACGCUGCCAGCUCACAUCUGUGGGAGGCAGGGACCCACGCUGCGCCUGUGCCUUACCUCUGUGUCAUGCACACACCAGCUCCCAGCUUCCUUGUAUCACCACUCUGAAGACUUGCAGGAGCAAGCUUAGUUCAGUUCCAAUUUUUACACCAUGGUUAAUGGGACUCCCAGAAAGAAACUCAAAUCUGAUGUUAAAGGGCGGUUUCUGUCCCUCGUCUUUCGGAUACCACAGAAAAGUGAGACUUGGGGGUGCUGCAUAUUCCUCUGUUGAAGACAUAGGGAGGGACUGAAGGGUCCUCCUUUAUUGCUUGUCCAGAAGAACUAAAGAGAGUAUCCUGUCAGAGGAGAGAUAGACGACUUGGUACUCAAGUUUAAAUACAUUGUCCCACGGCUGCUUUAAUUUAGAAGUUUCUCACUUGACAGAGAUGAGGCCAGCGGAAUAUAACACAGCUCAACAGCCGUGUCUGUCUCAAACACCCAUUCACGCUGUGUUAUUCUUCAACGUGUGCCAAGAAGUCCAGCUUUUAUUAGACAUUUGGUGAAAAAAAAAAAAA